rnacentral:sRNA from 1 species
CUUGGUCAUUUAGAGGAAGUAAAAGUCGUAACAAGGUUUCCGUAGGUGAACCUGCGGAAGGAUCAUUCAUAAUAAGUGUUUUAUGGCACUUUUUAAAUCCAUAUCCACCUUGUGUGCAAUGUCAGUUGUUCUCUUUUUUGAGAAUGACCAAACAUCAACUUAUUCUUUAACUCUUUGUCUGAAAAAUAUUAUGAAUAAAAUAAUUCAAAAUACAACUUUCAACAACGGAUCUCUUGGCUCUCGCAUCGAUGAAGAACGCAGCGAAAUGCGAUACGUAAUGUGAAUUGCAGAAUUCAGUGAAUCAUCGAAUCUUUGAACGCAUAUUGCGCUCUUUGGUAUUCCGAAGAGCAUGCUUGUUUGAGUAUCAGUAAACACCUCAAAGACUUCAAUUUGUUUUGAAUGGCUUUGGACUUGAGCAAUCCCAACACCAGUCUUUACGAUCGGUGGAGGGUUGCUUGAAAUGCAGGUGCAGCUGGACAUUCUCCUGAGCUAAAAGCAUAUUUAUUUAGUCCCGUCAAACGGAUUAUUACUUUUGCUGCAGCUAACAUAAAGGGAGUUUGACCGUAUUGGCUGACUGAUGCAGGAUUUCACAAGGGUCGGCAACGAUUCUUGUAAAACUCGAUCUCAAAUCAAGUAAGACUACCCGCUGAACUUAAGCAUAUCAAUAAGCGGAGGAAAAGAAACUAACAAGGAUUCCUCUAGUAACGGCGAGUGAAGCGGGAUGAGCUCAAAUUUAAAAUCUGGCUGGUUUACUAGUCCGAAUUGUAGUUUAUAGAAGCGUUUUCGGUGGCAGCCUGGGUAUAAGUCCUUUGGAAUAGGGUAUCAUAGAGGGUGAGAAUCCCGUCUUUGACUCAGUGCAUGCUACUAUGUGAUACGUUUUCAAAGAGUCGAGUUGUUUGGGAAU